GAGGUUGAAUUGUAUCUAAUCUAAUCAAAAUUAUGUUUUAAACAACGUUUUGAAAAUUCUUAUGAGACACAAUAGUACUUGCCACUUAGUAAAAAAUGCCUAUGCUCUGUGUUGCCCAGAUAUGUACUUCAGUUGGCAUGCUAACCAGUUAGCCCCAGCCUAUCCUCUCUGAUAAUACCACUUCAUACCUCAAGAGGCACUAAGCAAUCAAUGUAGUGAAAACAGCAAGACAGCAUAGAUACUGUCACUGGCAUAUGCCCACCCUAUCAGGAAUGUCUUUAAACAUUGAAAUGCCAUUUCAGAGACUUAAAUAAUGACAGUUAAAGUUUUUCUUAAUUUGUGGAGUAAUGGAUUGUUAAAUGUUUUGAACUACAGAGCCUCAAUCCAUUUUCAGGGUGCUGGACUGAUAUUAUGAAUGGACCCAAGUAAGCAUUGCUCUCCUGUAGUUAGUAUCAACAAGUAUCUUAGUAGCAAGCCCAUCAACAUUAUGGUUAGACUAUCAGCUAAAUCCAAAACCUGAAAUAAGGAUUUAGAGGAUCUAUUGACAAAGUUCAUGUAACAUGUAAAUACCAAUUAGUCUUGAUGGAGACGCUUCUGGUAGCCUAGAUAUCGACGGCAGCACAGGAUCACUCUGAGCUGUGGGCGACUUCACUGAGGCUGAGGAGGCUGGUUGGCUGGAUUUAUUUAUGGCUCGGCCCGAGUCACUGUUUUUGUCUGGCCUAGCAAGUCACAAAUUCUGAAAUGAAUCAAGACGUAAAAGAGGCUGCAGGUCACAGUAAGACACUCAGACCAGAGUCUGCACUACACAGCUGUGUGACCAUGAAGAAUGACCAGAACAUGGAUGAUCCUGUAAACAUGAACAGCACAUCAACACAGACCAAUGCAGGACGACACACACACAGACCUCCAUCUCCAGUGCCCAGC